CCUUAUGGCUACAAAUCUGACAUAUGGUCACUUGGCUGCUGUAUGUUUGAAAUGGCUGCACACCAACCAGCAUUUAGGGCUCCUGACAUGGCUUCACUAAUCAACAAAAUAAAUAGAUCCUCCAUUUCUCCUCUCCCAAUUGUGUAUUCCUCCUCGCUGAAACAAAUUAUUAAGAGCAUGCUGAGGAAGAAUCCGGAACACAGGCCAACAGCUGCAGAGCUGUUAAGACAUCCUCAUUUGCGAUCAUAUUUACUUCAUUGCCGCAAUGCGUCUUCUGUGUUUCUUCCUAUAAAGCCCAUAAACAAUUCAAAGGAGAA
rnacentral:misc_RNA from 1 species